ACUUCUGUUCAGACCAUACCUCCCAAAUAUUCAUUCAUUAUCAGAAUCUUAACUCUUCAUAUUUUGUUUUAUAUUAAAUUAUUUUCUGCACAGUAAAUGCAAGGUUUUUUUCUCCCACACUCUGGAAUAUGUGAAAUGAACAACAACCAUUGAUGUUGCUGCAUUCUAUUUCUUGUGCAGUGUCGGAUAAAAACAAUCUUAUCAACAUCAGUCCUGAUCAUAAGGACCAGUAAUUCAUUCCUCUUAUGAUUCUAACCCUUCGAACUGCAGUUUGUUAACAUGAUGCUAAACAACAGAGCACAUUAUGAAAUGAUUUCCCUCUCUGUCUCCUCAGGUUUGUGAUGAUGUUGCUGCACAGGUUCUGGGGAAGUCGGUGUUCGUCAACUGGCCUCAUCUAGAGGAAGCUCGCAUCAUUGCGGUGUCGGAUGGAGACGUCAAGUUUUGUCUGGAGGAACCACCCGGUGUCCAAAGAGUGUACGACAGGCCCUCCACACCCCCCCCCACCAAAGUCAACUGUCUGUCUGACAAGGAGCAGAAGGACUGGGUGAAGGACGUGCAGGGAGUUACUGAACAUUUCGUGAAGAGGAAAGGCAUCAUGGUGAAUGACACGUCGGUGGUUUUGUACGGCCAGUUGCUGACGGGAAGGAAAUACGUCCCUAAAGCUGACGGGGUGGUGGAACUUGAGAAACAGUGGGCCAAGCAGGUCCUCCCUUUCGCCUUCCAGACUGUGGUUAAGGUACACACACACACACACACACACACACACACAUACAUACAAGACAUGAACACAGAGAUAAAUCAUUGGAGCCUGUGACCAAUUCAGCACCAGUAUGUUUAAAAAAACACCAGAACACCUGGUUGAGGGAGAGAGUGUAGUCUAAUCCCUGACUCUGACACACUCGGUAGUGGUGGUGUUUUCCACAACCACUCACCAAGAGUUCCCACUUCAUGCCAUGAAUGAAAAACAAAAAAACAAGACAAUAUAAUCACAGAAAAUCAAAUGGUAAAGCCAAACUAUCCAUCCAUCCAUUUCCCUCGGCUUAUCCGGGGUCGGGUCGCGGUGGCAGCAGGCCAAGCAGGCUGACCCAGACUUCCUUCUCCCCCGCAACAUUUGCCAGCUCAUACUGGGGGAUCCCGAGGUGUUCCCAGGACAGCUGGGAGAUGUAAUCCCUCCAGCAUGUUCUCCGUCUUCCCCAGGGUCUCCUACCAGUUGGGCGUGCCCGGAAAACCUCCAGUGGGAGGCGCCCAGGAGGCAUCCUGAUUAGAUGCCCGAACCACCUCAGCUGA